CGGCCUGAGAGGGUGACCGGCCACACUGGGACUGAGACACGGCCCAGACUCCUACGGGAGGCAGCAGUGGGGAAUAUUGCACAAUGGGCGCAAGCCUGAUGCAGCGACGCCGCGUGAGGGAUGACGGCCUUCGGAUUGUAAACCUCUUUCAGCAGGGGAGAAGCGAAAGUGACGGUACCUGCAGAAGAAGCGCCGGCUAACUACGUGCCAGCAGCCGCGGUAAU
rnacentral:rRNA from 1 species